UUUUGAUCCCGAUUGCUUCGCUUCCUUUUUUACUCUGAAAAUUCUCCACGUCUUCCAGAGAAUAAUCAAAGGAAAUAGGGAAAUCGGAAUUAGCA
rnacentral:misc_RNA from 1 species